UAAGCAUGGGCCUGCCUGUCUUUGAG
rnacentral:misc_RNA from 1 species